rnacentral:lncRNA from 1 species
AAGGGGGCAAUAAUGUUGUAGAACAAGUAUCUGGUGAGUACUGAUACCCUAAGAAACUCACCGUGAUAAGCUAGCUUCCACGUCUGGAGAAAAUGACACCUGCAAUUGCUUGCUGUGCUGCACACAGGUCACUAGGGCAAGCUUCAGGAGAAGUAAAAUAGGUGUAUGAGCGUGUUUAUAUGUGUUUAUGCAUGAGUGUAUCUAGGUAUCUGCUAUUUUCAUCUUUUGGCUUGUUAAACAGUCUCAGGUUUUUAUUCAAGACAGGUCAAAAGCCCAAAUGUGAUUAACUGCCCUCAGCAUCUCAUUGUUACUGUUAUAAGUUGGGAAAAAGAGAGGCAGCUUUAGAAAAGAAACUUCACCGAAAUACGUGCAUGCAUGUGUGAGUGUGUGUGUGUGAGGAGUGUGUGUAUUUAUGUGUGUUUUGUGUUUAUGUAUAAAAUUAUGUAUAUAUAUGUACAUAUGUGUGUACAUCUAUCUUAAUGUGUAUAUAUAAAUAUAUAUCUAUAGCUGUACAUAUGUAUACACCCAUAAACAAAGCUCAUAGUUUAAAACUUUGGAAUUUUCAGUUUGGAGAACUUAUUAUUAUUACAAUUUAUAUUUGGUUUCCUAGACGGUCUAAUAUAGUUCUAAUUUCCAAAAUUCUCUUCCACUAAAAGUGGAUAUAUUUAUUUAUGGUGCCGAGAACAUUAACAAAAUAUUUAGAUUUAAUAUCUAUGAAUAAUAAACCAAAAAAAGUGCAUUUAAGGAAACACCAAACUUGUAAAAACUGGCUCUCUUAUCCAAACCAUUUGUUGGAAUUUCAAACUACAUGUUUUCACACUUCUUCAUUCCAAAAAAAAAAAAAAAACCAAACCAGAAAAAACCCAAAACACUACCAAAUGAACAGUGAUAAUGUUUAAGAAGAAAAAGAAAAAUGUAGGUGUAUGAUAGCACAAAUUCAAUGGUUAUUGCCCUAGUGGUGCUUCACUUACCUAUUGGUUAAUUUAUUAUAUCCUGGUUAAUUUCACUUUAUCACUGAUGAGGGUUCCUGUGUCCCUACAUGAUUUAUCGGUGGAGCUAAUUAUCUAUUUAUUUAAAGCUAUAGUAAAUAAUUUAUAAUAUGCAUAUUGUAAAUAGAUACUAAAAGUCAUGGGCACAUUGUAAUAAUCACAAAGUUUUAGUCUCCUGCAAAUAACACUUGAAGUCUGUUUAUACAAUACCCAAAUAGUUGCUCAAAGAAAGAACAAUGUAAGUCAAAUACAAGAAAACCUUACUUACCUAUUUUGGCAUUUUACAGACAUAACAACCAAAUUAACGAAUUUUGGCCAUCUUAAGAAUACAGUAAGUUGUGUACUCAUUCAUAGCCACAUGCUUUGCAUAUUACUGGGGAAUGUGAAAAAUAUUUAAAGUCAACCUAUGCAAACAGAGAUUCCCUGCUGCUCCUUGGGAUCAGUUUGUAUGCACACAAGCCCAUGCCUUCAACUGAUAGUCCUAGCACAGAUCCCUCCUCCCAGAGAUCUGUCAGGUGUGCCCACACAACAGAAGCACUUGUAAACUAAUUAAGCACGGUCACUGAAUCCUUUUUUCACCAGCCUUCUAAAGAUGUUGUCUUAAAAACAUAAGAAAGAAAAUCCAUUUUUUUAAAGCAAUGAAAUGUUCUAAUUAGGUUUGAGGACAUUUGAAGGAGCGAUUGUUUUUUCCCCAAAAUUUUGGAGCAGAGGGGACGUUUUACAUCAUCCUAACUUCAUGUUCCUCUGUCAUUUUAUUUUAUUUAUUUAUUUUUAAUUCCAAAGGAGAAAGUUGAAUCAGGAAAAUUUGUCUUAAAAUAUACUGCUUAGUUUAGAGACGGACAAACUAAUGUAUUUUUGUAAAUCAUGGGUGGCGGAUGUCAAAAUCUCUCAUUAAUUACCCUGUUUUUUUCUUUAAGGAAAUUGAUUCAUGAAUAAUUGGAAAGGUAUUCUAGUUAAGACACACAGAAACACAAACUUAGCGGAGCUGCACUUCAGAGAGUCCCACUGUAAUCUGUUAAUAGAAUCUGCUUUAAAUGAGUCACUCCUUAGACUGGCAAUGACACCCAGCUUAGUCUGUAAAAUCAGGAAUCUUUGUGUUGGCUGAAGGAACUUAGUAAUCUUAGUUGAAUUCCUCUUCCCCAUGUCUUUCAAAACCAGAGCACUGGGUCGAACCUAACCCACAAAAUAAUUCGUCCAAAUUAAAUUGACUUUUUUACAUAACAUCAGCACCACCCCUUACACUUUUAAAGUUAAAGACCCUGUUGAUCAGGUUACCUGGAAAUUUCAAGUGCAUCUGACCAGGGAUUAUCAAGCUCCUUGUGACAUCUGUUUCUGAUGCUGUGAAUGUGAUGUCACCACAAAUAGAGGAUUCUGAAUUUUGCUGGUACUAAUGCUGAGUGGUGACUUAUUGGGGCCUUGCUCAUGUUACUUUUUCCUGACGUCAUUCAAGCACUUGAUGACUUGGGUCAGUUUGUUGCACAUUGAUGAAUAACAAGUGACACCCAAUGAAAUUACCUCUUCUCCUUUCCAAUGCAGUUCGCUUGUACAUAAAUGUAACGUCAUAUUGUUUACAGGUUAUUUUUGUGCGUAAUUGUGAUAGCAGAUUUAGCUCAAACUUUAAAGGAAUUUGUUUACUGACUGGUGUUAAAAUGAAUGUGCUUAUUACAGUAUAAACAUCAUUAAUUAUGGACUCACAUGAAUGCAUGUCUACAUGUCGUCAGUUCUCAGCAGCUCAGUUAUUCAGCAAAAAGUCUGCAGUCUGUGAAUAGCAAAUAUACAUAAACUACUGUGACUCUAAUAACUCUAACUGUUUUUACCUUGGGAUGUAACACUGUAGAUCUUCGCCUGCUGUAUUUCUUUCUUACCUAUUUGUUUUUGCGAGAAAAACAUGAUAGAAAAUGCUACUACUAAUUGUCCCAAUGGAAUUGCACAUCAUUUUGGCAAUCAUUGGUUCACUCAGAAGGCAACCGCCUAUAGAUGGAACAGCCCUGAGCAACAUAUAAAUAUAUACAUACAUAUCUAUGUAUGCAAUAUCUACACUGCGAAUUACUACCAUCUAUUCUCACUGCCAAUGGAAACAAACUACUCUUUUCUUUGGAUUCAUUGAUGGAUAUAAAAAAUUAAUUUGCUAUUAACUGCUUUCAUAUUCUGUUUAGUUCUUAUAGUAUGGUAAAUGAUACAGGUGCAGUAUCAGUAUUGUAAAAUUGUAUGGUGAAAACUACAAAAGUCAUUCUGUGGAUAUAUUUUAAAAGGAAGAACAGAAACUAUAUUUCAGAUUCUUGUGUGAAUAUAAUUACAGAAUAGGUAACUAUUUUUAUGUGUUUCCAUAAAUGACUCCAUUUCAUAUGCAUUGUAAUUUAGCACAAAUCAUAAUAAAUCAUUUGGUAACA